rnacentral:misc_RNA from 1 species
GAUGAAGAACGCAGCGAAAUGCGAUAAGUAAUGUGAAUUGCAGAAUUCCGUGAAUCAUCGAAUCUUUGAACGCACAUUGCGCCCCCUGGUAUUCCGGGGGGCAUGCCUGUCCGAGCGUCAUUGCAACCUUCAAGCGCGGCAUGUGUGUUGGGUCUCGUCCCCCGUGGACGGGCCCGAAAGGCAGUGGCGGCGUCCCGACAUGGUGCCCGAGCGUAUGGGAAUCCUCUUCCGCUCGAAUCGGCCCAUGCGGCGCUGGUCGUAACCAAAUUUUUUACCGGUUGACCUCGGAUCAGGUAGGGAUACCCGCUGAACUUAAGCAUAUCAAUAAGCGGAGGA